AUUGAACGCUGGCGGCAUGCCUUACACAUGCAAGUCGAACGGCAGCACGGGUGCUUGCCCCUGGUGGCGAGUGCCGAUCGGGUGAGUAUUACAUAUGAACAUGUCUUGUCGUGGGCGAUAGCCCGGCGAAAGCCGGAUUAAUACUGCAUCCGAUCACCGGAUGAAAGCGGGGGCCCGUCGGGUCCCGCGCUAUCGGGUUGGCCGAUGGCUGAUUAGCUAGCUGGUGGGGUAAAGGCCUACCAAGGCGACGACCAGUAGCUGGUCUGAGAGGAAGAACAGCCACACUGGGACUGAGACACGGCCCAGACUCCUACGGGAGGCAGCAGUUGGGAAUUUUUGGCAAUGGGCGAAAGCCUGAUCCAACAAUGCCGCGUGUGUGAAGAAGGGCUUCGGGUUGUAAAACACUUUUGUCCGGGAAGAAAACCUUGGCCCUUAUACGGUCGGGGGAUGACGGUACCGGAAGAAUAAGCACCGGCUUACUACGUU
rnacentral:rRNA from 1 species